UGUAACUCGAAACUGGUGUAAAGUGCAACCAUUUUGUGUGAUUAUUCGUAAAUAACCUGCUAAAGAUGACGUGCGGGGCAGAAUGUCUGUCGAUCGGUCCCCCGCCAGAUUCGAUUCUGCACAUGCCGCCGCCGCCGCUACCCGCGUUCCUGGCCAGUGCUGCCAACCUGACCCCACCAUGCAGGGCUUCUAAGUGCCCGCCAUUGCAGAACAACGAGGACAACGCUCUGUUCCCGGGAGUGGAAUACCAUGAGCUGCCUAGACACGAGCCAGCCGGCAACGAUGACACGUGGUUCUUAGUCCUGAUCACAUGCUGCAUCGCCGUGCUUUGCAUUGCGGCACUACUUGCGCUCUUCUUGCUCAAGUGCAGAGACUUUGUUCACAGAGCGCGCGGCGGCUGCAAAAGCGGAACUGGCAAGGCCAGUGGCUCGAACGCUCUAUACGGGGGCGCAGCCCUAGAUUCUCGGGUGCUCUGGGCGGCUCUAACACCACGGGGUACUCGCCACUUCGUCGCCGACACCUACCCUCACGAUGAGACCGAGGACCACCACUACGAGUGCGUCGAGCCUCCGCUGUACAAGCUCGGGCCUCCAGAAGACCUCACCAUCACGCGUCACUUCAACGUCGAAUACGAGGACCCGGCUCCUCUCAUCGAAAGCUACAGCGACCGAACAGAGGAGUACUUUCGAAAUGGCAUGGAUACCCUCCGCCGUGGGCGACCCCUCGUGUCCUCUCCGACCAGGAUCGAGCGCCCUAACCUUCCUCCCCUAAAUCUCCAGCCCCGAACCCUCCGAAGGGCACCACAUUCCCGCCGGGUGAGCGAUGCAAACAACCCCGAGAAGUCGGCCAUCUGAACCGAGACUGGCGCGGUAUUUUCCGUCGCCGACUCCGCAGAUAUUGACUACGAUUGGCAGGCGCUCGAGAACUCAAACGUCGACCGUCUCGUCUGAAGACACCGCUUCUAAAGAGUAUCUUGACAAGCGCACCAAUCCAGCACCAAUACACAAGUUUAAUGGGGACAAUGGUUAGAUUCCGCGUACAGUGUUAUUUGACGAAAUAGUGAACAUUUCAAGCUGAGCAUCAGUGUCUGUUCUAUAGGUAGAGAAUAUUUAAUUUUUUGCAGUAUUACUUAUUACUUAACGCUACUAAGAAUGAGUUUUUGUAAAUAUCACGUAAAUUAUUUUAGCAGCUAUGUACAAUGUAAGCUAAUGCAAUUGAUCUAGUCAGCAAUUUAUAUUUUCUAGUCUAUAAUUUAUUUUGAAUCUCUUGUCGUUGAUGGUGCUAUUUCUGGGAUAGUAAGAACCCUCAAUGGGCAAGAGGUUUAGUUGUACCUUGUAAGCAAUGAUCUCGAUGUCUAUCUACUCUCACAAACGUACUUAAGUACCCUCACAAUGUAUUUAAAAUCUUAAUGAGUCAAAAAUUAAAAAUUAAAACACUAAAUGCAAGCAUGUUUGUGCCAUACACGUUAGAUUAAUAGCAUCCAUUUUUUUA